UACGGGGGGGGGCAAGCGUUGUUCGGAAUUACUGGGCGUAAAGGGCUCGUAGGCGGCCAACUAAGUCGAACGUGAAAUCCCCGGGCUCAACCCGGGAACUGCGUCCGAUACUGGGAGGCUUGAAUCCGGGAGAGGGAUGUGGAAUUCCGGGUGUAGCGGUGAAAUGCGUAGAGAUGUGGAGGAACACCAGUGGCGAAGGCGACUCUUUGGCCUGUAACUGACGCUGAGGAGCGAAAGCUAGGGGAGCAAACGGG
rnacentral:rRNA from 1 species